GGUCCUGUAGUGUAGUGGUUUAUCACUUGGGAUUUUGAACACGCGUCCGCCGGUCGGCCCCUCAACUAGCGGAUCGUGGAUCUUCCCAUAACCCAGGUUCGAACCCUGGCAGGACCU